CAACUGCGGAAAGGGCAAGCCAACCUGAAGCUGCAGACUUCCCACAAGACACCUCCUACCCAGACACCCUGAGAUAACAGCAAGGACAGGAGCAGAAACCAGAUGGAGCCUUGGGAGAAGUCAGCAGUCCGCAGUCCUGAAGAGGGCCCUCACCAGAACUGGACCAUGCUAGGCAUGCUAGGCAUCUUCACUUUGGACUUCCAGCCUCCAGAAUUGUGAGAAAUAAAUGUUUGU